GAUGAAGAACGCAGCGAAAUGCGAUAAGUAAUGUGAAUUGCAGAAUUCAGUGAAUCAUCGAAUCUUUGAACGCACAUUGCGCCCGCCAGUAUUCUGGCGGGCAUGCCUGUUCGAGCGUCAUUUCAACCAUCAAGCCCUGCUUGCGUUGGGGUCCUGCGGCUGCCCGCAGGCCCUGAAAACCAGUGGCGGGCUCGCUAGUCACACCGAGCGCAGUAAUACAUCUCGCUUUGGGCGUGCGGCGGGUUCUUGCCGUUAAACACCCCCUUUCUACAAAGGUUGACCUCGGAUCAGGUAGGAAUACCCGCUGAACUUAAGCAUAUCAAUAAGCGGAGGA
rnacentral:misc_RNA from 1 species